GUCAGUUCGAAAGGCAGCACUUUAUAUCUGCCAGCCUUUCAUUCCAGGCAUCAUCUGUUUGUGCCAGGUGGGAGAAAGUUCUCUGGCAGAAAUAAUGACCAAAUAGAAGCAAGUCUUUGAAGACAAGAAUCAAAGAAUUCCAGCCGCUGGAUCGAGGGAAUUGAUAAUGACAGUGUUUUUCGUCAGGGCAGUGAGAUUAAUCAUAGACCGAGGGGAGAGGGAAUGGAGGGAAAGAAGAAAAAAAAAACUGAGACAAACAUUUCUACCGAUCCUAAUGUUUUCUGCCGUGGACUGACUGCUGAGCUCUAUAGGCGCUGGUUUGUGGAGCAGACUGGGAGCGAGCUCAUUAAUGCAUGUGUGGAUGGAUCAGAAGAGAGACUCACUAUGUUCUCUCUUUCUUUAACAGCGGACUGAAAAAAACAUACACAAGAUGGAAGAGGGAGAUGAUAAAGGUUGUGCUGCCUUAACGGAGGCUUCUGGUUGCAAUGCUUCACUGGGCUGUAAGAAAUCACAACACUGCUGGAAAUGCACUGGGGAUUUUCAACAGCGGACUGAAAAAAACAUACACAAGAUGGAAGAGGGAGAUGAUAAAGGUUGUGCUGCCUUAACGGAGGCUUCUGGUUGCAAUGCUUCACUGGGCUGUAAGAAAUCACAACACUGCUGGAAAUGCACUGGGGAUUUUCAACAGGCAUUUUUGAAUGUGUCUUACAGCAUAUUCUUUUUUUCUGUUCUAUUCUGCAAUGCAUAUGUCAGUGAUUAUACAACAGUUCUAUUGACCAAAUUGUCUUUAAAGACAAGUUCUGGUAGAAAUGCUCAUGUAUUAAAGAUGAAAAGCAAUAAUGCUUGUGUGAUAUGCUAUAUCAGUAUCAGCCAGUAUUAAUAUUUUUCCCCUUAAAUUACGUUACAUGUUACAUGCACUUAAUAUUUCAAAAACAAUAAAUUAUGGAUAAUUGCAUGCAUGUAAUGUUCAGUGUCACAUAGAUCCUUCAGAAAUCAUUUUAAUAUGCGGAUUUGCUGGUCAAAACAGCAAAUUAUUUUCAAUUAUAUUAUUAAUGUUGAAAAGUUUUUUUUGUGUGUGUGUGGAAACCAUU
ensembl:lncRNA